GACGGCUUAGCAAAGUGGUUACUGCGAUUGAUUAGAAUUUAAUUUGAUGAUCAAUUCCUCUUCGAGGGCGUAGGUUCGAAUCCUACAGUCGUCG